rnacentral:rRNA from 1 species
UCCGGGAAACCGGGGCUAAUACCGGAUAACAUUUUGAACUGCAUGGUUCGAAAUUGAAAGGCGGCUUCGGCUGUCACUUAUGGAUGGACCCGCGUCGCAUUAGCUAGUUGGUGAGGUAACGGCUCACCAAGGCAACGAUGCGUAGCCGACCUGAGAGGGUGAUCGGCCACACUGGGACUGAGACACGGCCCAGACUCCUACGGGAGGCAGCAGUAGGGAAUCUUCCGCAAUGGACGAAAGUCUGACGGAGCAACGCCGCGUGAGUGAUGAAGGCUUUCGGGUCGUAAAACUCUGUUGUUAGGGAAGAACAAGUGCUAGUUGAAUAAGCUGGCACCUUGACGGUACCUAACCAGAAAGCCACGGCUAACUACGUGCCAGCAGCCGCGGUAAUACGUAGGUGGCAAGCGUUAUCCGGAAUUAUUGGGCGUAAAGCGCGCGCAGGUGGUUUCUUAAGUCUGAUGUGAAAGCCCACGGCUCAACCGUGGAGGGUCAUUGGAAACUGGGAGACUUGAGUGCAGAAGAGGAAAGUGGAAUUCCAUGUGUAGCGGUGAAAUGCGUAGAGAUAUGGAGGAACACCAGUGGCGAAGGCGACUUUCUGGUCUGUAACUGACACUG